UCGCGCAUGGUGGAUUCACAAUCCACUGCCUUGAUCCACUUGGCUACAUCCGCC
rnacentral:tRNA from 14 species